UCCGAGUUGACCCCGGCAGUCUCCGAUGAGUCCCCGGCAUUACCCGCUGGCAACAUCGAACGAGGGUUGCGCUCGUUGCGGGACUUAACCCAACAUCUCACGACACGAGCUGACGACAACCAUGCACCACCUGUACACCGCCCUAAAAGGACCCCCUGUCUCCAGGAGUUUUCGGUGUAUGUCAAGCCUUGGUAAGGUUCUUCGCGUUGCAUCGAAUUAAGCCGCAUGCUCCGCCGCUUGUGCGGGCCCCCGUCAAUUCCUUUGAGUUUUAGCCUUGCGGCCGUACUCCCCAGGCGGGGCACUUAAUGCGUUAGCUACGGCGCGGAAAACGUGGAAUGUCCCCCACACCUAGUGCCCAACGUUUACGGCAUGGACUAC
rnacentral:misc_RNA from 1 species